GCCUUCGUGGUGUUGUGGUCUGCAUGCUCGAGCGUAACCGAAAGGUCCGUGGUUCGAUUCCCGGCGAAGGCG
rnacentral:tRNA from 1 species